UAGGGNNUCUUCCGCNANNGCNGUAAGUCCUAUGCAGCAACGCCGCGUAACUGAUCAAAGGCAUCGGCUCGUAAAGCUCUGUUGUCGCAGAAUGAACCGGUGUAUGAGUCACUGGAGACAUCUUGACGGAAUCCAGCCCCAACGCCACGGGUAACUACGUG
rnacentral:rRNA from 1 species